AGAGUUUGAUCCUGGCUCAGGAUGAACGCUGGCGGUCUGCUUAACACAUGCAAGUCGAACGGAGUACCUCGGUACUUAGUGGCGGACGGGUGAGUAACGCGUGAGAAUCUGCCUUCUGGUCGGGGACAACCAUUGGAAACGAUGGCUAAUACCGGAUAAGCCCACGGGUAAAAGAUUAAUUGCCAGAAGAAGAGCUCGCGUCUGAUUAGCUAGUUGGUGAGGUAAAAGCUCACCAAGGCAUCGAUCAGUAGCUGGUCUGAGAGGAUGACCAGCCACACUGGGACUGAGACACGGCCCAGACUCCUACGGGAGGCAGCAGUGGGGAAUUUUCCGCAAUGGGCGAAAGCCUGACGGAGCAAGACCGCGUGAGGGAGGAAGGCUCUUGGGUUGUAAACCUCUUUUCUUGGGGAAUAAAAAAAUGAAGGUACCCAAGGAAUCAGCAUCGGCUAACUCCGUGCCAGCAGCCGCGGUAAUACGGAGGAUGCAAGCGUUAUCCGGAAUUAUUGGGCGUAAAGCGUCCGCAGGUGGCACUUCAAGUCUGCUGUCAAAGACCGGGGCUUAACCCUGGAAAGGCAGUGGAAACUGAAGCGCUAGAGUGUCGUAGGGGUAGAGGGAAUUCCUGGUGUAGCGGUGAAAUGCGUAGAGAUCAGGAAGAACAUCGGUGGCGAAAGCGCUCUACUGGACGACAACUGACACUCAGGGACGAAAGCUAGGGGAGCGAAUGGGAUUAGAUACCCCAGUAGUCCUAGCCGUAAGCGAUGGAUACUAGGUGUGGCUUGUAUCGACCCGAGCCGUGCCGAAGC
rnacentral:rRNA from 1 species